ACAUAUGGGGUUGCUGGCGGCACCCGACACAAGAUGUAUGCUCAUGCUCGCUGUCGCCGCAGGGGAAUCCGGUGUGAGUCCGGAACUGUCCCGCAACGGUGUACCCAUGCCCGCGUGCAUGGGCGUCAGUCCGAGGACCUGCCGACAGUGCGCCCGGCCG
rnacentral:ncRNA from 2 species